rnacentral:lncRNA from 10 species
UGGCAACUCGCUGGGGUCCCCUUCCACCCUUUGAAAACUUUGUUCUUUGGUUCUUUGCAAUAAAUGUUGCUGCUGCUCACUCUUCGGGUCUGCACUGGCUUUAUGAGCUGUAACACUCACUGCGAAGGUCUGCAGCUUCACUCCUGGAGCCAGUGAGACCCCGAGCCCACCGGGAGGACCGAAGAACUUCAGAUGCGCCGCGUUAAGAGCUGUAACACUCACCGCGAAGGUCUGCAGCUUCACUCCUGAGCCAGCGAGACCACGAACCCACCAGAAGGAAGAAACUCGGAACACAUCCGAAUAUCAGUAGGAACAAACUCCGGACACGCCGCUUUUAAGAACUGUAACACUCACCUCGAGGGUCCGCGGCUUCAUUCUUGAAGUCAGGGAGACCAAGAACCCCCCAAUUCCGGACACAGGGGGACUUGGCUGCUUCCUGUUUCUAUCAUAGACGCAGCUGGCCUCAGAAUAUUCCACUUAUGGAUGAAAGAAUGAUAGUGUUAUUUUAUGGAAGAAUUUAAGAAGAUGUUGCGGUAUCAUCGACUUUGAACAUCUGGUGAUCUCCAAAUCAAGAGAUA